UCCGGUUUGUCACCGGCAGUCUCGCAUGAGUCCCCAACUAAAUGCUGGCAACAUGCGACGGGGGUUGCGCUCGUUGCGGGACUUAACCCAACAUCUCACGACACGAGCUGACGACAGCCAUGCAGCACCUGUCUCCAGGUUCCCGAAGGCACCCCCACAUCUCUGCGGGGUUCCUAGGAUGUCAAGACCAGGUAAGGUUCUUCGCGUUGCAUCGAAUUGAACCACAUGCUCCACUGCUUGUGCGGGUCCCCGUCAAUUUCUUUGGGUUUUAAUCUUGCGACCGUACUCCCCAGGCGGGAUGCUUAACGCGUUAGCUUCGUUACUGAAAUGGUUUACAUCUCCAACGUCCAGUUCGCAUCGUUUAGGGCGUGGACUAC
rnacentral:misc_RNA from 1 species